GGGCUAUUAGCUCAGUGGUAGAGCGCGCUCUUGAUAAGAGCGAGGUCUCUGGUUCAAGUCCAGGAUGGCCCAG
rnacentral:tRNA from 1 species